rnacentral:rRNA from 1 species
GGCCCUUUCGGGGGUACACGAGUGGCGAACGGGUGAGUAACACGUGGGUGAUCUGCCCUGCACUUUGGGAUAAGCCUGGGAAACUGGGUCUAAUACCGAAUAGGACUACGCGAUGCAUGUCGUGUGGUGGAAAGCUUUUGCGGUGUGGGAUGGGCCCGCGGCCUAUCAGCUUGUUGGUGGGGUGAUGGCCUACCAAGGCGACGACGGGUAGCCGGCCUGAGAGGGUGUCCGGCCACACUGGGACUGAGAUACGGCCCAGACUCCUACGGGAGGCAGCAGUGGGGAAUAUUGCACAAUGGGCGCAAGCCUGAUGCAGCGACGCCGCGUGAGGGAUGACGGCCUUCGGGUUGUAAACCUCUUUCAACGCCGACGAAGCGUAAGUGACGGUAGGCGUAGAAGAAGCACCGGCCAACUACGUGCCAGCAGCCGCGGUAAUACGUAGGGUGCGAGCGUUGUCCGGAAUUACUGGGCGUAAAGAGCUCGUAGGUGGUUUGUCGCGUUGUUCGUGAAAACUCACAACUCAAUUGUGGGCGUGCGGGCGAUACGGGCAGACUGGAGUACUGCAGGGGAGACUGGAAUUCCUGGUGUAGCGGUGGAAUGCGCAGAUAUCAGGAGGAACACCGGUGGCGAAGGCGGGUCUCUGGGCAGUAACUGACGCUGAGGAGCGAAAGCGUGGGGAGCGAACAGGAUUAGAUACCCUGGUAGUCCACGCCGUAAACGGUGGGUACUAGGUGUGGGUUUCCUUCCUUGGGAUCCGUGCCGUAGCUAACGCAUUAAGUACCCCGCCUGGGGAGUACGGCCGCAAGGCUAAAACUCAAAGGAAUUGACGGGGGCCCGCACAAGCGGCGGAGCAUGUGGAUUAAUUCGAUGCAACGCGAAGAACCUUACCUGGGUUUGACAUGCACAGGACGCCGGCAGAGAUGUCGGUUCCCUUGUGGCCUGUGUGCAGGUGGUGCAUGGCUGUCGUCAGCUCGUGUCGUGAGAUGUUGGGUUAAGUCCCGCAACGAGCGCAACCCUUGUCUCAUGUUGCCAGCGGGUAAUGCCGGGGACUCGUGAGAGACUGCCGGGGUCAACUCGGAGGAAGGUGGGGAUGACGUCAAGUCAUCAUGCCCCUUAUGUCCAGGGCUUCACACAUGCUACAAUGGCCGGUACAAAGGGCUGCGAUGCCGUGAGGUGGAGCGAAUCCUUGUUAAAGCCGGUCUCAGUUCGGAUCGGGGUCUGCAACUCGACCCCGUGAAGUCGGAGUCGCUAGUAAUCGCAGAUCAGCAACGCUGCGGUGAAUACGUUCCCGGGCCUUGUACACACCGCCCGUCACGUCAUGAAAGUCGGUAACACCCGAAGCCGGUGGCCUAACCCC